rnacentral:rRNA from 1 species
CCUACGGGAGGCAGCAGUGGGGAAUAUUGCACAAUGGGGGAAACCCUGAUGCAGCGACGCCGCGUGAGUGAAGAAGUCAUUCCUUGUUUUAAGCUCUAUCAGCCGGGAAGAAAAUGACGGUACCUGAGUCACCAGCCCCCGCUAACUACGUGCCAGCAGCCGCGGUCAUCCUGCCGGCGCCCGCGUUCUCCGGGUUUAUUCGGGGUAAAGGGAGCUUUGACGGGAGUGCAAGGCUGGGGUGAAAGGCGGGGGCUCAACCCCCUGACUGCUCUGGAAACUGUACGGCUUGAGUGCAGGAGAGGUAAGUGGAAUUCCUAGUGUAGCGCUGAAAUGCGUAGAUAUUAGGCGGAACACCAGGGGCGAAGGCGGCAUGCUGGACUGUAACUGACGUUGAGGCGCGAAAGCGUGGGGAGCGAACAGGAUUAGAUACCCGAGUAGUC